AUUGAACGCUGGCGGCAUGCUUUACACAUGCAAGUCGAACGGCAGCGGGUCCUUCGGGAUGCCGGCGAGUGGCGAACGGGUGAGUAAUGCAUCGGAACAUACCCAGUCGUGGGGGAUAACGUAGCGAAAGUUACGCUAAUACCGCAUACGUCCUGAGGGAGAAAGCGGGGGAUCUUCGGACCUCGCGCGAUUGGAGUGGCCGAUGUCAGAUUAGCUAGGUGGUGGGGUAAAGGCCCACCAAGGCGACGAUCUGUAGCGGGUCUGAGAGGAUGAUCCGCCACACUGGGACUGAGACACGGCCCAGACUCCUACGGGAGGCAGCAGUGGGGAAUUUUGGACAAUGGGGGCAACCCUGAUCCAGCCAUGCCGCGUGCGGGAAGAAGGCCUUCAGGUUGUAAACCGCUUUCGGACGGAAAGAAAUCGCUUGGGUUAAUACCCUGAGUGGAUGACGGUACCGUAAGAAGAAGCACCGGCUAACUACGUGCCAGCAGCCGCGGUAA
rnacentral:rRNA from 1 species